rnacentral:lncRNA from 1 species
CUCAUAUCAUCAUUUCAUCUCAUCCUUUCAUUUCAUCUCAUCGUUUCAUCUCCUCAUUUCAUCUCAUCUCACCUCAGCAUUUCAUUUCACCUCAUCAUUUCUUAUUUCAUCUCAUUUUAUCUCAUUUCAUCUCAUAUCUCAAUUCAAUUUCCUUUCAUUAUUUCAUCUCAUUCAUUUCAUCUCCUUUCAUUACAUCUCAUCAUUUCCUCUCAUCAUUACACCUCAUCUCAUCUCAUCAUUUCAUCAUUUCAUCUCAUCAUUGCAUCUCAUCAUUUCAUCUCAUUUCAUCUCAUCAUUCAUUUCAUCUCAUCGUUUCAUCUCCUCAUUUCAUCUCAUCUCACCUCAGCAUUUCAUUUCACCUCAUCAUUUCUUAUUUCAUCUCAUUUUAUCUCAUUUCAUCUCAUAUCUCAAUUCAAUUUCCUUUCAUUAUUUCAUCUCAUUCAUUUCAUCUCAUUUCAUUACAUCUCAUCAUUUCCUCUCAUCAUUACAUCUCAUCUCAUCUCAUCAUUUCAUCAUUUCAUCUCAUCAUUGCAUCUCAUCAUUUCAUCUCAUUUCAUCUCAUC